rfam:Salmo salar isolate Sally breed double haploid chromosome ssa26, whole genome shotgun sequence.
CCAUUCAAAAUUUGGAAGUCGCUCUGGAUAAGAGCGUCUGCUAAAUGACGUAAA